AACGAACGCUGGCGGCGCGCCUAACACAUGCAAGUCGAACGAGAGGCUCUUCGGAGUAGUAAAGUGGCAAACGGGUGAGGAAUGCAUGGGUAACCUACCCUUGAGAAGGGAAUAACCCGCCGAAAGGUGAGCUAAUACCCUAUACGCUUCUCUUUUCAUGGAGAGAGAAGGAAAGCUAAACCGUGGGUUUGGCACUCAAGGAGGGGCUCAUGUCCUAUCAGCUUGUUGGUGGGGUAACGGCCUACCAAGGCUACGACGGGUAGCUGGUCUGAGAGGAUGAUCAGCCACACUGGCACUGAGAUACGGGCCAGACUCCUACGGGAGGCAGCAGUGAGGAAUAUUGCGCAAUGGGCGAAGGCCUGACGCAGCGACGCCGCGUGGGGGAUGAAGGUUCUCGGAUUGUAAACCCCUUUUGUGUAGGAAAGAGAAAGUGGGUAACCACUUAGACGGUACCUCAAGAAAAAGCCACGGCUAACUUCGUGCCAGCAGCCGCCGUAAC
rnacentral:rRNA from 1 species